CUGCCUGAGAAAAUUACCUUAUAACUACACAUGAGAAAUUGCUGGAAUGUCAGCUUCAUUUGCAGUGGCCCCUUAUGGCCUGAUCACCCUCCCUGGCACGAUAAAUCACUGGCAAGAUCCUUACCUUAACAUGUUUGAUCUCAGCUCAGCAAGACUUGGUUUUGAUGUGAAGAACUCCAGAUCUGUUAGGUCAGAGACAAAUAGCAGAGCCACUGACCUGCAAAGUGCUAAGUCUAUAUUAGACCCAAGUGAGCAGCCUUAAGCUCCUGAAAAGUUUGCCUUCACUUCUACUUUGCAUGCUGAAGCUUUUCAAAUAUUACUGCUAGCAUGUUUUGUUAAUGAUGCCAGAGACAUUUCCUUUUGUGCCGUUCUGCAUGUACAGAAGCCACAAAAAGCAUGUGGUGUGAGAAGCAUUAUCUUGGAUAAACUGUUAGAAUUAUCUACACUUUAAAGAGACAUGAAAUAAACCUCAUUAUUUAUUGGUUUCUUUACUUAAUUUACACAAAUGGCUUGCACUGGCCUUUUUCUUACUAGACCAUGCCUACUGAUAUCAUAAAUAACGAUAUUCACCAGUACAUCCAUUAAGAUGAUGCAAAGUGCCUGUGUGUACAUACAGACAUUCAAACUACUCCUAAAAACAAAAAAACUCAGCUUGUGACAUUUACAUUCAAAGUCUGAACUUUCACAAAGAACAGUUUUGUGGCCACUCAGUUUUGCAGCCUUGGUUUGAAAGUAUUACUUAUUGUCCUGGUUAAACAGUCACUUAUCUCCACGAUAGUAAGCAGGAGUGUUAGUCUACCAGAAAAUUGGAUGUUCUUAAUGGGCUUUGGGGGAGAAUAGCUCUGCAUCAUCAGCAUUAAGUUAAAUCACAUUAAGUACCCACUUACAACACAGGGAUUACCACUUAUGACAUCUUUGGUGAAAGCCUUUAAAACAAAUUGUUGUGUUUGUUAGAAGAAGCUGUGAGAGAACAAUUCCCAGAAGUCUGAUCUAUAAAUUCCUUCUGCUCUUCAAGAAGAGCAGCAAAGGAACCCAACACCUCUCAUUCAAUGCUGCAAUGAAAUCUCUCAGGUUGGAAAUUCUUUUCAAUAAAACAUCUUGAAAAAUACUAAUUUACUUACUUUAGAAUAUUCUUCUGGAGAGAAGAAACCAUCAGACUACCUUUCCUCAGAGUGCAGUUCUAAUUUCUCCUCCAGUUCCUUCUGUUGAUUAAGUCAUUGCCUUUUACACGUACAAAACUGGAAUAGGUCAUUCUGCUUUUUAUUAUUCAUAAGGCUGAUUGGGGAGAACUGGGUUUAAACUGUCAAAGUAUCCUGCUGUGCUUGGAUACCUGACAGAUUUACACCUCAAAGUACACUGUGGUACUAAGACUAAACUGGAUGAGGAGUGUUCUUGCAAGAGCUGAUUACAGUCUCAAUCAAAUAGAACACCUGACGUUAUAACAAAAUAAUGCCAAUGUUUGAUAGACUUUAAUUUUUUUGUAUAUGACCAGCAAGUUAUAUUGUAUAGAGAUGAAGGCCUGCAUGAAAAAUGAGCUCUUAUAUUUAACUUUAAAUAGAAACAGACUAAUGACUUUGAGUAUGUAAAUGAAAAAUAUGGCCCUAGACUUCUGCCAAACAUGCAGUAUUAAAGAAGUAGAUUAGGGCAAACCCCAAUACAUGGUUAUACUGAGCUCUCCUUAAAUGAGCAAAGCAUGCUGUAAAAGUCUUGUGAAUAAAGAGCCUUCUUUAAAAAACUUGAAUACUCAUAUAUGCAGUCCUGAAAUCCACUCUCCCCAUUUCCUUUAAAAUUUACGUUUCUUUUCCCCUUUUUAACCAAACUCCAUUUUUCUCUGCUGGAUCCCCCUGUAAUGAUGACAGAGUAUGGGCAAACCUCGUUAGUUUCCCUGCUGUCUGCAAGACAGGAUUUAUGCUUGUAGUGAACACAAUGACACAUGAUCACUAAAUAGCUAAAAUCACUAUCAAGACUUAAAUCUGAGACAUUUUUCACCCAGACAUUGCCAGUACUAUUGGUAUGCAAUGGUAUGGAGCCCAGUAUUAAUUACAGCAAACAUGUCUCCCAGUGUCCCACUUCUGCAAGGAGCACACCAGUGACAGCUGUUUGUGAAGGUUCAUGGCAUGCAGCCUUUGGCAGGUACCUGGUGUAAGGUAGAAGGUAUGUUAGGUAUGUUGCCAAUCCAAUCCAGUGAGUAAUAACUAACUUCCCAUGGGACCUGGCUGAAGUCAAAUAUUGCUAUUCCUGGAUCAUUGCUUUUAGUCUCCCUAAAGACCAUUUAGGCAAACAGCUGGAAGAGCUGACUAAAAGGGUUCCCAGUCACAGGGAACCACUUGGGGAAAGCAGGUAAAGGCUUCUAACCAGGAAACAAGUUAUCAAAGGAUUUGUCCUGUUGCUCCCUCAAGGAAAGAAAUGAACUGAGACAGAGAGCAAGAACAUGAAAACAUUGGUGUUGGAACACACGCAGAAUCCAGACAUUAAAAGCAAUUGCCUUGGGUGAUGGGAGGAAGAGGUGUGCUGCACCAGUCAGUGGGCAUGUUCUGCACUGGGCUCCUGCUUGGCAUCUAAAUAGGAGGGCUUUCCUUCUCCCUCAUGCUGGAGUGCCUUACAAGAACAAAACCUUUGAGACAUGAAUAGAAGCAAUACCAGAACUUGAGUUCCAGUACUGUCACUGCUUUGCACUGAUGGAAUGUUCCUCUUCCUAAAGAGAAGUACAGAGGGGAACAACAUCACCAGCUUCAGCUCCAUCUGAACUCAUUAUGCAGAUCUUGCAGCAAGGAGGGCACUGCCUCCCUGACAACACUCAGAGGAACAGCAAGAGAGACAACUCCUGAUGAAGUGACACAGAAAGAGAGCAAAGAACAAAAGGAAGGGGUCUCUUCAUCGAUGCUGUGUGUGUGUAUAGUGAGUACACAGAGAAGUGUGCAGUUAAUAACAUACAGAAAUCAGACAUGCAUCCACAGGUAAACACCAGCUCCAAAAUUCAUCUGUAUUGCCAUUUCCCAGAAUACCAUGUACAAAAAUAGAAGCUUGAUCUUCUGGUAGUCUGGCUGGUUUAGCAAGAGAUCCUGCCUCUGACACUGACCUACUGUCUGAGUUAGUCAUGGUUACACUCCCACAAAUUUAAACUCCCCCAUCUGUGAAGGAACCUUGUCACAGUUUUACAGUGAGGCUGAAUCAAUUAAUGCCUUCUGAAAGAUGUGAUGGAGCAAAAUAUUAACACUAGCAGUUGAGUGAUACCAGCUAAAAACAUCUUAAGUAAUGUAACAAAUGGAUUUAAAAACCACUAUCAAAGGAUUGGACCACCAAGACUUCUAGGCCAUCAUCAGCAUAGCUACAGCACAUUUAGUGUUAUAUCACUGUUUCAAAUUAAUACUGAAAAAAGCAGAGCUUGAUUUUCACCUCUCAGGAAAACAGAUCCAAUAAACAUCACAAAAGAGAAGAGACCGUUAAGUAGCUGGGGUAAAGAGAGUGCAAUAAGGACAAAAAGAGGAAGACCAACAAAAUGUCAGGGACUGGUGGAAAAGGAGGUAAAGGCUUAACCAGAUAUCCUGAAAAACAACUGUGCUUGUUUCUCAAGGUCUGUGCAAGCCAUUCUGGUACAGGACUGCUGCCACAGUGUGUAACAACUGAAGCAACUGGAAAAAACAAAAAGUUCCUUGUUUUGGAAGGUGGGAAAGUGGAUCCAGGAUAAAAGUCCUGCCCAAGACAAAACUCCAAGCUGAAGACUCCAAUUAUCUAUAAAUCACUUGAAUUUCCUGCAGAGAAAGAGAAAAAGGAGGAAAGAGCGAGGCAGACAGAAAAACAGAGACAGAGGAUAUGCCAAGUGAAACAUUUGAUACCUGUCCUAAACCAAAAUUUUCUCAAAAGCAACCAGGAGUUACCUGAUAUCCAAGCUUAGAAGAAACACGUUGCUGUUGCUUCUGGCUUAAUAUUGAAAUUAAAUAGCUUUCUUUUAAUUGUUCCAUUAGUAUAAAAUGUGUAACAUUUUAGAUCUGAGAUGAUGGAAUUAUGUAUUGAUUUAUUUAAGGUCACUGUACAUUCUCACAGACAGAAAGCUAGGAUUGCUGAUGACUGCUGUCCUUUUCAAAGGUUUUUAGAAACAAUUCUCCAGUUUUAGAAGACAGAAAUGCAAGUACAUUUAUGAUGCAAACUGGCUGUGACACUACUCUCAAGUAUUUCCCAUGAAACCCUCCUGAAGCACAGUUCACACUGAAACCAGCAAUGAACAAAAUUCAUGCCAAAUACUCUUUGCACAGUAUGAUUGCUCCCGAGGUGCAGAACAACACAGCAUCCAAUAAUUGCAUUCCUUGCUUAUUUAACUAUUUAAAAAGAAUUUAUGAGCAAGAAACCAUAUGCAUUUUUAGAUUUGCAUACUGCAGUUUGCAUUAAAAUGCAAUGGAAUUUAAAAUAGUUGACUUUCCUCUGAAACAUUCUUCUAGAACAAGGAAUUGCUGUAACAAAUUAGAAGACAAAUUAAUUUUGGCACUCACUGAAAAAAAGAGAAAAGAUGAAAAGCUUUUAAAGUGAUGAUAUGGAAGAAAAAAAUUACACUACAUCGGCCAAAAUGAGUCUCCUAUCAGCAUUAAAGCUCCUGAAGUUGUAUUUCCAGUAGAUAAAAAUGUUAUCACCUUU